UACACGCUGUGACUAGCAUAUCAAUAAGCGGAGGAAAAGAAACUAACAAGGAUUCCCCUAGUAACGGCGAGUGAAGCGGGAAGAGCUCAAAUUUGAAAUCUUAAAGGGUUUCCCUUUACGAAUUGUAGUUUAAAGAAGUGUUUUCUGUUGAGGUUUUGGUAAAAGUUCUUUGGAAUAGGACAUCAUAGAGGGUGAGAAUCCCGUAUUUGACCUUUACUUUCAACUUUGUGAUACACUUUCAAAGAGUCGGAUUGUUUGGGAAUGCAGUCCAAAAUGGGUGGUAAAUUUCAUCUAAAGCUAAAUAUUGGCGAGAGACCGAUAGCGAACAAGUACCGUGAGGGAAAGAUGAAAAGAACUUUGAAAAGAGAGUUAAACAGUACGUGAAAUUGUCAAAAGGGAAGCGUUUGACACCAGUGUUGUCUUUCUGAAAAUCAAUUAAAGAACUGUUUAUGCUAAGUUGUUUAGACUUUAUCAGCUAACUGUUUAGUUUUGAGCUUUUCUUUAAUGCACUUUUCAGUUAACAAGUCAACAUCAAUUUCUUUUGCUGUAAAAAAGCUUGAGGAAGGUGGCUUGAGAUUCGUCUUAAGUGUUUAUAGCCUCUUGCCUAUGCAGUCGGAGAGAUUGAGGUCUGCAGCGUAGAUCCUUCGGGGCUAAAUGCAUUUGUGCUAAGUUAUAGCAUUUUAUAGACAACUUGUUGACUAUGAUUUGUCUUGUAGCUUACUCGCUUAUGUUAUUUUACCUACGCUUAGGAUGUUGAAGAUGUAGCACAUCAU
rnacentral:rRNA from 1 species